CUUCCCUUCCCCAAGCUGUGCUGUUAACAUUGGAGUCAGGUCUGACUGGACUGAAAGGGUUACACAGUGCUCCGUUUUGCAGAUGCCCUCGGUGCUUGCUCGUC
rnacentral:lncRNA from 1 species